AGCAGCCGCGGUAAUUCCAGCUCCAAUAGCGUAUAUUAAAGUUGUUGCAGUUAAAAAGCUCGUAGUUGAAUUUCGGGGUCAGCGGGCUGGUCGUGCCUAUGGUAUGCACUGGCCUCGCUGAUUCCUCCUUCUUGAAGAACUGCAAUGUCAUUAAUUUGGUGUUGCAGGGAAUCAGGACUGUUACUUUGAAAAAAUUAGAGUGUUUAAAGCAGGCGAUCGCUUGAAUACAUUAGCAUGGAAUAAUGAAAUAGGACGAUCGAUCCUAUUUUGUUGGUUUCUAGGAUUGACGUAAUGAUUAAUAGGGAUAGUUGGGGGCAUUAGUAUUCAAUUGUCAGAGGUGAAAUUCUUGGAUUUAUUGAAGACUAACUACUGCGAAAGCAUUUGCCAAGGAUGUUUUCAUUAAUCAAGAACGAAGUUAGGGGAUCGAAGACGAUCAGAUACCGUCGUAGUCUUAACCAUAAACUAUGCCGACUAGGGAUCGGAUGAUGUUAAUUUUUAAUGUAA
rnacentral:rRNA from 1 species